rnacentral:rRNA from 1 species
AUACGUAGGUGGCAAGCGUCGUCCGGAUUUACUGGGCGUAAAGGGAGCGUAGGUGGAUAUUUAAGUGGGAUGUGAAAUACUCGGGCUCAACCUGGGUGCUGCAUUCCAAACUGGAUAUCUAGAGUGCAGGAGAGGAAAGGAGAAUUCCUAGUGUAGCGGUGAAAUGCGUAGAGAUUAGGAAGAAUACCAGUGGCGAAGGCGCCUUUCUGGACUGUAACUGACACUGAGGCACGAAAGCGUGGGGAGCAAACAGGAUUAGAUACCCUGGUAGUCCACGCCGUAAACGAUGAGUACUAGGUGUCGGGGGUUACCCCCCUCGGUGCCGCAGCUAACGCAUUAAGUAUCCCGCCUGGGGAGUACGGUCGCAAGAUUAAA